AAUAAGGGUAGUUUUACACUUUUUAUAUUCAACGUUUAAUUAUUCGUCUUAUUUAAAAAAAAUUAUAAUUAAUAUUUUUAUUGUUGUUAGAUAAUAAAACAUGAAUAAUAUUUUAUUUGUGAUUAAUUUUUUAAAUUUUUUCAUAAAUUUUUUAAAUAAGAUGGACGGUUAAAUGUUGGAUACGAAUACCACGACUGUAUUUACU
rfam:Oryza glaberrima chromosome 1 Oglab01_0215_9, whole genome shotgun sequence.